rnacentral:sRNA from 1 species
AAGGUUCGACUCGAGCGUCAGCGAGAGAACGUUGCCGCAGGCAACGGCCCGAAGGGCGAGGCGCUUUAGCGCCGAGUAAUCCUUCCCCCACCACCA